rnacentral:rRNA from 1 species
CAGUCGCCACGGGAAUACGAAGGGGGCUAGCGUUGUUCGGAAUUACUGGGCGUAAAGCGCACGUAGGCGGAUAUUUAAGUCAGGGGUGAAAUCCCGCAGCUCAACUGCGGAACUGCCUUUGAUACUGGGUAUCUUGAGUAUGGAAGAGGUUAGUGGAAUUGCGAGUGUAGAGGUGAAAUUCGUAGAUAUUCGCAGGAACACCAGUGGCGAAGGCGGCUAACUGGUCCAUAACUGACGCUGAGGUGCGAAAGCGUGGGGAGCAAACAGGAUUAGAUACCCCGGUAGUCCCUGUCUCUUAUAC